CCUACGGGCGGCUGCAGUGAGGAAUAUUGGUCAAUGGACGAGAGUCUGAACCCGCCAAGUAGCGUGAAGGAUGACUGCCCUAUGGGUUGUAAACUUCUUUUAUAUGGGAAUAAAAUGUUCCACGUGUGGGAUUUUGUAUGUACCAUAUGAAUAAGGAUCGGCUAACUCCGUGCCAGCCGCCGCGGUAAUACGGUGGAUCCGAGCGUUAUCCGGAUUUAUUGGGUUUAACGUGAGCGUAGGGGGAUUGUUAAGUCAGUUGUGAAAGUUUGCGGCUCAACCGUAAAAUUGCUGUGGAAACUGGCAGUCUUGAGUAAAGUAGAGGUGGGCGGAAUUCGAGGUGUAGCGGUGAAAUGCUUAGAUAUCACGAAGAACUCCGAUGGCGAAGGCAGUUCACUGGACUGCAACUGACACUGAGGCUCGAAAGUGUGGGUAUCAAACAGGAUUAGAUACCCUAGUAGUC
rnacentral:rRNA from 1 species